rnacentral:rRNA from 1 species
GUGUCAGCAGCCGCGGUAAUACGGAGGGUGCAAGCGUUGUUCGGAAUCACUGGGCGUAAAGGGCGUGUAGGCGGUCCGCUAAGUCUGAUGUGAAAGCCCGAGGCUUACCCUCGGAAGUGCAUUGGAGACUGGCGGACUGGAGUCCCGGAGAGGAGGGUGGAAUUCCUGGUGUAGCGGUGAAAUGCGUAGAUAUCAGGAGGAACACCGGUGGCGAAGGCGGCCCUCUGGACGGUGACUGACGCUGAGACGCGAAAGCGUGGGGAGCAAACAGGAUUAGAAACCCCCGUAGUCC